CAUGGCCCUUACCGAAGCUGUGGCAGCGUCCACGUUGCUGCCACGGUCAAAAAGGAGCCCAGCCCUGGCCUGUU